CUGUGAGCUCGAUGAGUAGGGCGGGACACGUGGUAUCCUGUCUGAAUAUGGGGGGACCAUCCUCCAAGGCUAAAUACUCCUGACUGACCGAUAGUGAACCAGUACCGUGAGGGAAAGGCGAAAAGAACCCCGGCGAGGGGAGUGAAAAAGAACCUGAAACCGUGUACGUACAAGCAGUGGGAGCACAGAGCAAUCUGUGUGACUGCGUACCUUUUGUAUAAUGGGUCAGCGACUUAUAUUCUGUAGCAAGGUUAACCGAAUAGGGGAGCCGAAGGGAAACCGAGUCUUAACUGGGCGUUAAGUUGCAGGGUAUAGACCCGAAACCCGGUGAUCUAGCCAUGGGCAGGUUGAAGGUUGGGUAACACUAACUGGAGGACCGAACCGACUAAUGUUGAAAAAUUAGCGGAUGACUUGUGGCUGGGGGUGAAAGGCCAAUCAAACCGGGAGAUAGCUGGUUCUCCCCGAAAGCUAUUUAGGUAGCGCCUCGUGAAUUCAUCUCCGGGGGUAGAGCACUGUUUCGGCAAGGGGGUCAUCCCGACUUACCAACCCGAUGCAAACUACGAAUACCGGAGAAUGUUAUCACGGGAGACACACGGCGGGUGCUAACGUCCGUCGUGAAGAGGGAAACAACCCAGAC
rnacentral:rRNA from 1 species